GGACUCUUAGCUCAGUUGGUAGAGCAACGCGUUUACACCGCGUAGGUCAUCGGUUCGAGCCCGGUAGGGUCCA
rnacentral:tRNA from 2 species